rnacentral:rRNA from 1 species
GACGAACGCUGGCGGCGUGCUUAACACAUGCAAGUCGAACGGAAAGGCCCUGCUUGUGUGGGACGCUAGAGUGGAGAACGGGUGUGAAACACGUGAGUAACCUGCCCUUGAUUGGGGGAUAACUUCAGGAAACGGGGGCUAAUACCGGAGAAGAGCUCCUGCGGCUGGGGGGGGGUUGGAAAGUUUCGGCGGGUGGGGAGGGGCCGGCGGCUUAUUAGCUUGUUGGUGGGGUAGUGGCUUACAAAGGGUCUGGGGGUUGGCCGGCCUGGGGGGGGGACCGGCAACAUGGGGCCUGAGAUACGGCCCAGACCCCUACGGGAGGCAGCAGUGGGGAAUAUGGCACAAUGGGCGGAAGCCUGAGGCAGCAACGCGGGGUGCGGGAUGCCGGCCUUCGGGUUGUAAACCGCUUUGGCCUGUAACGAAGCGUGAGUGACGGUAAUGGGUAAAGAAGCACCGGCUAACUACGUG